UGGGGAAUAUUGCACAAUGGGCGCAAGCCUGAUGCAGCCAUGCCGCGUGUGUGAAGAAGGCCUUCGGGUUGUAAAGCACUUUCAGCGAGGAGGAAGGUGGUGAGCUUAAUACGCUCAUCAAUUGACGUUACUCGCAGAAGAAGCACCGGCUAACUCCGUGCCAGCAGCCGCGGUAAUACGGAGGGUGCAAGCGUUAAUCGGAAUUACUGGGCGUAAAGCGCACGCAGGCGGUUUGUUAAGUCAGAUGUGAAAUCCCCGGGCUCAACCUGGGAACUGCAUUUGAAACUGGCAAGCUAGAGUCUCGUAGAGGGGGGUAGAAUUCCAGGUGUAGCGGUGAAAUGCGUAGAGAUCUGGAGGAAUACCGGUGGCGAAGGCGGCCCCCUGGACGAAGACUGACGCUCAGGUGCGAAAGCGUGGGGCAGCAAACAGGAUUAGAUACCCUGGUAGUCCACGCUGUAAACGAUGUCGAUUUUGGAGGUUGUGCCCUUGAGGCGUGGCUUCCGGAGCUAACGCGUUAAAUCGACCGCCUGGGGAGUACGGCCGCAAGGUUAAAACUCAAAUGAAUUGCGGGUCUAGCUGUUCC
rnacentral:rRNA from 1 species